rnacentral:rRNA from 1 species
GUCGAAAGACGGGCUUAGUGAUCCCACGGUUCCGAGUGGAAGGGCCGUGGCUUACCGGAUAAAAUCUACCCCGGGGAUAACAUGCUAGUCUCCUCCAAGAGUUCACAUCGACGGGGAGGCUCGGCACCUCGAUGUCGGCUCGUCGCAUCCUGGGGCUGGAUACGGUCCCAAGGGUUGGGCUGUUCGCCCAUUAAAGCGGCACGUGAGCUGGGUUCAGACCGUCGUGAGACAGGUCGGUCUCUAUCCGCUGUGGGCGUAGGGGACUUGAAGGGAGCUGCUCUCAGUACGAGAGGACCAGAGUGGACAGACCUCUAGUGUGCCAGUUGUCCCGCCAGGGGCAUCGCUGGGUAGCUACGUCUGGCAGAGAUAACCGCUGAAAGCAUCUAAGUGGGAAACUCGCCCUAAGAUGAGGUCCCCCAUCCCUCCUUAUUGGAGGGAGUAAGACCGCCGGAAGACUACCGGUUUGAUAGGCGGGAGGUGUAAGCACAGCAAUGUGUUCAGCUAACCCGUACUAACGGUCGAGGACUUACGAU